AUUGAACGCUGGCGGCAUGCUUUACACAUGCAAGUCGAACGGCAGCGCGGGCUUCGGCCUGGCGGCGAGUGGCGAACGGGUGAGUAAUGCAUCGGAACGUGCCCAGUAGUGGGGGAUAGCCCGGCGAAAGCCGGAUUAAUACCGCAUACGACCUGAGGGUGAAAGCGGGGGACCGAAAGGCCUCGCGCUAUUGGAGCGGCCGAUGUCGGAUUAGCUAGUUGGUGGGGUAAAGGCUUACCAAGGCGACGAUCCGUAGCUGGUCUGAGAGGACGACCAGCCACACUGGGACUGAGACACGGCCCAGACUCCUACGGGAGGCAGCAGUGGGUAAUUUUGGACAAUGGGGGCAACCCUGAUCCAGCCAUGCCGCGUGCGGGAAGAAGGCCUUCGGGUUGUAAACCGCUUUUGUUCGGGAAGAAAUCCUCUGGGCUAAUACCCCGGGGGGAUGACGGUACCGGAAGAAUAAGCACCGGCUAACUACGUG
rnacentral:rRNA from 1 species